rnacentral:lncRNA from 1 species
AGGUGAGAGGGCUGCGCCGCUGGGAUGCUGGGGCUCCUGAAGGCCCGCGUCCUGAGGAAAGGGAAGUUGGAGACCGAGUCCGUCCCGACACUGUGACUCUCCCGGCGGCGGAGCCGCGCAGAGACGAUACGCGGGGCCUCUCGCUGUUGUGGCCUCUCCCGUUGCGGAGCACAGGCUCCAGAUGCACAGGCUCAGCUGCCAUGGCUCACGGGCCCAGCCACUCUGAGACAUGUGGGAUCUUUCCGGACCGGGGCACAAGCCCGUGUCCCCUGCAUCGGCAGCGGACUCUGAACCACUGCGCCACCAGGGAAGCCCUGCUGAAAUCUUGAGCACAGUCACAGGAACCACAUCCAUUAAUGCCCUUUGAUAUUCUUAUUGGCUCUUUCCUGAUAUAAUCCCUUCCCCCAGUCGUGGAGUUCCUACUGGGAUUUUAUUUGAGAUUGCUAUGAAUUUGUACAUCAGCAUGGAGAGAACUGAUAUUUUUAUAACAUUGAGACUUCCUAUCUAGGAAUUUGUUAUAUCCCUCAUUAUAGUUUUUUGUAAAGAUUUUCAUAUUUUUCAUGCUAUUAUUAGGGUAUACCUUUCAAAUAAUUUAAAUUUUCUGAAAUUUUUUGUAUUGAACUUGAAAUCGACUUUCUAAAACUCUUAUUUUGGAUACUUUUCUUUGAAUUUUGUGUAUAUGAUUGUUUUACUAUAUUACUCUAAGAACUUUAGAAAAAUGCUGAAUAAAGUUGGAGAUAGCAGGCAUCCUUAUUUUUGUCCUACUUUUAAGUUGAACACUGUCCAUAUUAACUAUAAUAUUUGUUGUAGGUAUUUGUAAAAAUACUUUUUUUAAAAAGGCAAACAUAUAGGCAUGAAGAAUACAUAGUGGUUGCCAGAAGUUAAGAGUGCUGAGAGGUUUUUGUUUCAAAAGGGUAUGAAGCAGUUUGGGGGGCAAUAAUGAAACAGUUCUGUAUUUUGACUGAAGUGGUGGUUACACAGAUCUAUGCAUGUGUCAGAACUCAUAAAACUGUACCAAAUAAAAUGAACUUCUGUGUAUAUAUAUAAAUUUUAAAUUAAAAAAAGUUAAAUCUCAGUAAAUGAUAUCUUACAUGUUUUACAUAAACAUUUACAUUUCUUUCAAUUCUCAUAAUCAACUUUUACAAACACGUAUUCAUUUGAAUUUUCUUUUUUAUUAUAUUGCUGCUUAGUUCUGUAGCCUAUUUUAAGUUUUUUCUUUCUAUUGAUUUAAAGAUCUUAUUAAGUAAUACAUCUUUUCUUUUGUAUAGUAAAAAUAUAAUUUCCUGGUUUCUUUGCUUUUAACAUCUUUUAAAAACUAGAACUGAGUUGUUUGCUAUUCUUCAUAAUAAAAUGUAUCACAUU